CCUACGGGGGGCUGCAGUCGAGGAUCUUCGGCAAUGGGCGCAAGCCUGACCGAGCGACGCCGCGUGUGGGAUGAAGGCUUUCGGGUUGUAAACCACUGUCAGUGGGGAGGCCUAUCCGCAGAGGAAGUACGGGCUAAGUUCGUGCCAGCAGCCGCGGUAAGACGAACCGUACGAACGUUAUUCGGAAUUACUGGGCUUAAAGGGUGCGUAGGCGGCGCUGUAAGUUGGGUGUGAAAUCCCUCGGCUCAACCGAGGAACUGCAUUCAAAACUACAGUGCUCGAGGGAGACAGAGGUGAGCGGAACUUAGGGUGGAGCGGUGAAAUGCGUUGAUAUCCUAAGGAACACCCGUGGCGAAAGCGGCUCACUGGCUCUUCUGACGCUGAGGCACGAAAGCUAGGGGAGCGAACGGGAUUAGAUACCCUUGUAGUC
rnacentral:rRNA from 1 species